rnacentral:misc_RNA from 1 species
AUUCACGACGAACUGAUUCUGUGGUGGCUGACCCCGCGUAUCCCGAUCAUCCUGCUGCUG